GGGCCGUUAGUUCAGUUGGUAGAAUGCGUCUCUCCUACAGGGCAUGCCCAAGGUGAUUAAGAUGAGGUCCUGGGUUCGAGCCCCAGGCGGCCCU